CAUGCAAGUCGAACGAACCUUCGGGUUAGUGGCGGACGGGUGAGUAACGCGUGAGAAUCUGCCCUCAGGAGGGGGAUAACAGUUGGAAACGACUGCUAAUACCCCAUAUGCCGAGAGGUGAAAUGAAUUUCGCCUGGGGAUGAGCUCGCGUCUGAUUAGCUUGUUGGUGGGGUAAUAGCCUACCAAGGCUUCGAUCAGUAGCUGGUCUGAGAGGACGAUCAGCCACACUGGGACUGAGACACGGCCCAGACUCCUACGGGAGGCAGCAGUGGGGAAUUUUCCGCAAUGGGCGAAAGCCUGACGGAGCAACGCCGCGUGAGGGACGGAGGCCUUUGGGCUGUAAACCUCUUUUCUCAAGGAAGAAGAUCUGACGGUACUUGAGGAAUAAGCCACGGCUAAUUCCGUGCCAGCAGCCGCGGCAAUACGGGAGUGGCAAGCGUUAUCCGGAAUUAUUGGGCGUAAAGCGUCCGCAGGCGGCCGUUUAAGUCUGUUGUUAAAUCGUGGAGCUCAACUCCAUCACGGCAAUGGAAACUGUUCGGCUUGGGUAUGGUAGGGGCAGAGGGAAUUUCCGGUGUAGCGGUGAAAUGCGUAGAUAUCGGGAAGAACACCAGUGGCGAAAGCGCUCUGCUGGGCCAUUACUGACG
rnacentral:rRNA from 1 species